AUACAAAAAGCGGUGAUUUGGUUAAUUGGGGAAUAGAACAUAUUAAAUACGUGAUUUAAAUUGGAAUCAGUUGAAUUUUAAAAGCUAGUAAAUAGACACUUAAGUGUCGUGGAAAAAACAGUUUGUGAUAGGAAAACACAUUGUGCGGAGACCAAAAUGUUUAAGCGGAUCAAAUCAUAUACACGGUUGAUUGAUUUUUUGCUGGAAGAACUCCCAUCGAUUCUGUCACAACAGUGAGGAGUGGAGGAGUAAUACGAGGAAAAUGUAAAGUUUUCCUAGGGCCUUUUUGAAGGUUAGGGACGAAUGAACUGAAGAAGUUUAAAGCCUCACAUGUCUUUGUUUCUGAUUGAGCUGUAGACGCGAUCAAAUUAUUGACUCGCUGAUGUCUCUGGCAUUGCAUCAAUCUUUUUUGUCUGUGAUUUGGUUUCGCCUGACGGCAGCAAAACUCUCCACAAAGGAUGAUAACUAAGCUGAUCUAGACCGGCAAUAUUUAAAUAAAAGGGCUUCUGUUGAGA